GACGGAGGGUGCUAGCGUUGUUCGGAAUUACUGGGCGUAAAGGGCGCGUAGGCGGCUGCUCAAGUCGGGUGUGAAAGCCCGGGGCUCAACCCCGGAACGGCACCCGAGACUGGGCGGCUCGAGACCGGGAGAGGUGGGUGGAAUACCCAGUGUAGAGGUGAAAUUCGUAGAUAUUGGGUGGAACACCGGUGGCGAAAGCGGCUCACUGGCCCGGUUCUGACGCUGAGGCACGAAAGCGUGGGGAGCAAACAGG
rnacentral:rRNA from 1 species